CGACUGUAACUAAAUAAAUGUUGAGAAGUUAAUAGGUUGAUUGUCAUGAGAUCUUGCAAUCUCCGUUGGCAAAUCUGCAUCCCGGGCUUCUCACACUU